CCUACGGGAGGCAGCAGUGGGGGAUAUUGCACAAUGGGGGGAACCCUGAUGCAGCGACGCCGCGUGGGUGAAGAAGCGCCUCGGCGCGUAAAGCCCUGUCAGCAGGGAAGAAAAUGACGGUACCUGAAGAAGAAGCCCCGGCUAACUACGUUCCAGCAGCCGCGGUAAUACGUAGGGGGCGAGGGUUAUCCGGAUUUACUGGGUGGAAAGGGGGCGCAGACGGCGAUGCAAGCCAGGAGUGAAAGCCCGGGGCCCAACCCCGGGACUGCGCUUGGAACUGCGUGGCUGGAGUGCAGGAGGGGCAGGCGGAAUUCCUGGUGUAGCGGUGAAAUGCGUAGAUAUCAGGAGGAACACCGGUGGCGAAGGCGGCCCGCUGGACUGCAACUGACGUUGAGGCCCGAAAGCGUGGGGAGCAAACAGGAUUAGAUACCCGUGUAGUC
rnacentral:rRNA from 1 species